UAAUUGCACUUGCUCCCAUUUUUCUACUAGCUUUUUUCACCUUGUAUCAUCAAAUUCUCUCCCCCCCUAGCUGUUUUCUCUGAGCCAGUCAUUCUUUCCUCCGCGUGUAUGGUAUGGUGGCUCAAAAUUUGAUUUUAUGCUGUGCAGGGAUUAUUGGGAUUCAGUCAUCCGUCUAGGAUUUUGCCCAAGCGGUCAUCCUUUCCGUUCUUGAAGAUGUUAUAGAGCUGCUUGGCUGUUCAAUUCAGUGGUCUAUCCAAAUGGGAAAAAAUAAUAACAGGAGUUGUAAUCAACAACUAUAAUCAAAAUUUUUGGCAAAUUUAUGAUUUUACUAACUAUUGCUAUUCUCCAAUGUGUGUGUGUGUGUGUGUGUGUGUGUGUAUGUACAUAUAUUUAGAUUUCAAUGUUUAUUUAGGUUAUUUAAUAAAAAAUUAAAAUCACUAAAUCGGUGAAUCAAAAUCUCUUCAGUUGCUUCCAAAGAAAGGACCGGAUGUACUGGAGACACUCCAAAUCUGGGGUGUAUACUGUGAAGUCAGGCUAUGCUCUAGCUAAGCAGAGGAAGAAGAAACUCCAGAGCGAAAAAGGAAAGCAAGAGGAGUCGAGUACUGAGCCUAAGAAGGAUAAAGUUUGGAAAGGUCUGUGGAACCUGAACAUUAAGUAUGAGCACAAACAUUUUCUCUGGAAAUGCUUACAAGCAGCACUCCCGGUUCAAGAAAGCAUAUUCCACAGAACAAAAAUGGGUGAUCCUAUGAGCAGAUGUUGUGGAGAUGGUGGGAUUCCCUUAUAGAAGCAUGCAAAGUGGAGAAUAGAGCGGGACACUUGGAACUCACAGUCAAUAUACUUUGGGAAAUAUGGAAAGCAAGAAACAAAUUCAUGUUUGAGGGAGAGAGAAUCUGGAAAAAAUGGAGGACCAACCAAGACAACAAAUGAUGAACCAAAGAUGGACUCCUCUGCAGUGUGAUACAAUAAGAAUUAGCACGGAUGCUGCCAUGUCUGCAAAGAAGGUCAGAACAGGACUCGGGAUAGUGGCAAGAAACUGGAAUGGGGAACUAGUAGAAGUGAGGGCAGUGCAGGAACUAAAGAAAGGAUGCAGCAAUCAAACAGGCUCUGCUAAUGGCAAAAGAUGCAGGAUGGGCGAAAAUUGAAUUGCAAUCUGACUGUAAAAAUGUGGUCAACAUGAUGAAAGAAAGAAGAACUGGGGUCCAGACAGUGACAACUAUAGUGGAAGGCAUCAAUCAGCUAGCAGACUGGUUUUCGGUUUGCAAUUUCAAUUUUGUCAGUAGGAAAAGGAAUUGUCUGAGUCAUUAUGUAGCAAAAUUUGCGUCAACAUUAGUGAAGAAUGUAAUGGGGAAGCUUAGCUUUCCCCUGUGGCUCAAACAAAUGGCACAGGAUGAUCUGAUGGGCAGUUGCCCAGAUUUGUAGAACUUUUGUAGUACCAAAUUUUGUUAAUACAUGAUCGUUUUUGACAAAAAAAAAAAAUAAAGAAUUUCUAAAACCUGAGCAUCAGUUUGUAAUGACACCCUUUUUAUCACCAAUUUAUUUAAUCAGAAGACCACUUAUUUCACAUAAAAUUUUGUUAAACAAUCUCCCAAAUUCGUAAUGAGCCCACAAGUAAAUUCCAGGUUACUUGCCUAGAUUAACUUUAAUUCCGUAAUACACUACCAAAAUCCAACAAGAUGCAAAAUACUUUUCUUCCUUAUUGUCACCAUCUAAACAGUCAAUUUAAACCCCACACUGUGACCUCCUUAGACAACAGUCAAAUCUCUGCACGGUUCCACUAAUUUCUUCCAUGUAGACUGGUCCAAAAAACAACUUCCAAAUGAACCAUGGGGUGCAAUAUGCUUUCUUUUAAAUCUUCAAAUUAUCUAGACCCUGAGUUUUGGUUUCUGAUUAACCUUUCUUUCUUUUCUGCAUUUGUUUCACCAGAGCACUACUUAUCUACCAUAAAACUAUUGAGAAUGGUCCAACAUUAUAACAAACCCACAAAUAAAUUCCAAAUAACUCAUUUUCAUUACAUACAAUCCAACAUAAUCUCAAAAUCCAAAAAGAUGCAAUACAUAAAUCCUAGUAUCCUGAUCUGAAUAUUCAAUUUAAAUCCUAAAAUCCAAUGCAUUUACAUAAGGAUCCUAUAUUUGCAAUCAAAGGAACUAAGCUCUGCACAAUCAAACAGACUUUUUAAUAAAAUUAGUAUGCUCUUGUUACUUAUUGCAAUAAACCCAGUAGAAUGGUAAAAAACAACCUCCAAAUGAACCUUGGGUGUUAUAUGCUUUCUGGUAAUUCUUGGGAUUUUAGAAACUAUGAGCCAGUUUCUAGUAGACCUUUUUUUCUUUUCUCCAUAACACUACUUAUCAACCAUAAAACAGUCUGACAAUAUUCCAGAUACUUAACAACCCAAAUAGAUGUAAUUCACCAUCAUGAGAUAGAAUCCAACAAGCACAUAUAAACCAUCUGAAUAUUCAAGUUAAACUCUAAAAGUGCAACGCCCUUACAUAAGAGUCAUAUAUUUGCCAUAAAGGAACUCAACUCUAGAUAAAUCUACCAACCCAUAAUAGAGGCUGUAGAAUCUUGUUACACUUUGCCAUAAAGCCUGUAGAAUGUUAAAAAACAACCUAUAAUAGAACCUUGCUGCAAUAUGCUUUCUUCUAAUUCUUGGGACAUUAGAACCUAAAUAUCAGUUUCAAAUUGACCUUUUCAUCUUUCCUGCAGAACACUACUAUGUUUUUAACAAUAUUUCAGGUCUUUAACAACCCAAAUAGAGUCCGAGUAACUCACUUAGAUUAAAUUAGAGUCCAACAAUGUUUUAGAAUCCAACAAGAUGUGCAUGUACUUUAUUCCGCCUUCCACCCAUUUGACUGCUCAAAUCAAAUUCUAAACUUCAACAACAAUGCAUAAGAGUCCAAUAUAUGCCAGCAAAGGAUGAAACUCUGCACAAUUCACCUAAGUUUUUACCAAGCCUAGUUAGUUUGUUGAGGUUUGCUUGCUGCCUUAAACUGAAAACAGCCUCUAAAUGGACCUCGGAAUAGCUUGCUAUUGUAAAUCUACAGCAUUUAUAGAAGCUGAUUUGAAAUACCAUUUUUGUUUUAUCCAUUAAUUCCAGCACAAUACUACUUAUCUACAAUAAGUCAUUGACAAUACUCAAAAUUUGUACAAACCCACAGAUAAAAUACCAAGUAACUCACCUAAAUUACAUAGAAUCCAAAAAGAUGCAAUACUAGUUCCUCAUGUCACCAUCUGGACAUUCAAGUUAAAUCCUAAAGUGCAGUUUCCUUGUCUACAAGUCCUCUAAUUGCUUGUAAAAGGACCAAACUCUACACAACACCAGCAAACUUAUAAUCUAAAAACUAUCUUAUGCCUUGUAGAAUGGUAAAAAGACAGCCUCCAAAUGAACCAUGCUGCAAUAUGCUUUCUCGUGGUUCUUUAAAAUUUCUAAACCUUUAACUUUCAGUUUCUAAUUGACCUAUUUUUCUCUUCUCCAGUAGACUACUCAUCUACCAUAAAUGCUUGUAAAAGGACCAAACUCUACACAACACCAGCAAACUUCUAAUCAAACUCAGUAUGUUCUAAAAACUAUCUUAAGCCUUGUAGUAUGGUAAAAAGACAGCCUCCAAAUGAACCGUGCUGCAAUAUGCUUUCUUGUAAUUCUUUAAAAUUUCUAAACCUUUAACUUUCAGUUUCUAAUUGACCUAUUUUUCUUUUCUCCAGUAGACUCAUAAAAUUCCUUGACAGUAUUCCAGAUUUUUUAUGAAUUCAAAUAGAAUCCAAGUCACUCACCUAGACCAAUUAGAGUCCAACAAAAUUUUGGAAUCCAACAAGAUGCAGCAUACACUUUGUUUCAACUAUUGCCCAUAUGAAUACUCAAAUUAAACGCUAAAGCAAACUUAUAAUCAAACUCAGUGUGUUCUAAAAACUAUCUUAAGCCUUGUAGAAUGGUAAAAAGACAACCUCCAAAUGAACCGUGCUGCAAUAUGCUUUCUUGUGAUUCUUAAAAUUUCUAAACCUUUAACUUUCAGUUUCUAAUUGGCCUAUUUUUCUUUUCUCCUGUAGACUAUUCAUCUACCAUAAAAUUCCUUGACAGUAUUCUAGAUUUUUGAUGAAUUCAAAUAGAUUCCAAGUCAUUCCAGAUUUUGGAAUCCAACAAGAUGCACCAUACACUUUGUUUCAACUGUUGCCUAUAUGAAUACUCAAAUCAAAUGCUUAAGCUAAUCAAAUGCUUAUGCUAAUCAAAUGCAUACGAGUUCUAUACUUGCCGACCAAGGACAAAACUCUGCAUGCUUCACCUAACUUCUUACUAAGCCUACUAAGUUCUGGUUACCCUUUGCCUAAAACCUUGUUAAAAAAAAUCUCCUAAAUGGACCUUGGUACAAUAUGCUUUCUUGUAAUCUUUGGAAUUUCUAGAAGCUGAGUUUCAUAUUCGAUAUGCCAUAAUUAUUUUCUCCAUUUAUUUCACCACUGUACUCCUUAUCAACCAUAAAAUCAUUGCCAGUACUCAAAACUUGUAACAAACCCACAUAUAUAUCCCAAGAAACUUGGAUAGAAUCCCUAAAGAUGCAAUACAUAGUUCCUCGGUCACCAUCUAGACGUUCAAUAUAAAUCCUGAAGUGCAAUGUCCUUGUAUAUCAGUCUUCUAAUCGCCUGCAAAGGAUCCAAACUCUGCACAACACUAGCAAACUUCUGACUAAACUUUUUCUGUUCUAUUUGAUCAUUGCCUUAAUCCUUGUAAAAUGGUGAUAACACUCUGCACUAAGCUCUAUUUGAUCACUGCCUUAAUCCUUGUAACAACACUAGCAAGCUUCUAACCACACUUACUAUGUUCUAUUUAAUCAUUGCCUUAAGCCUUGUAAAAUGGUAAGGGCAAAAAAAAACCCCCCAAAUUACUUUUUUCUUGCAAUUCUUGGGAUUUCAAAAACCGAAGGUUGAGUUUCUAAUUGACCUUUUUUUCUCCUGAGCAGUACUUAUCUGAAAUCUAUUGACAAUAUUCCAAAUUUUUAACAAGCCCAAAUACAUUCCAAGUGACUCACCAAGAUUAAAGAAAGAGAGUCCAACAAAAUCCCCGAAUCCAAUGAGAUGCACAUAUACUUUUUUCAACUAGUGGUAGAAAGUCAUUAAAUGAGAGUCCAAUAUUUGCAUGCAAAGGACAAAGUUCUACACAAUUCACCUAACUUCUUACUAAGCCUGGUAUGUACUGGUACUCUUUGCUUAAACCUUGUACAAUCGCAAAAACCAAACCUCUAAUGGACCCUCUUACAUUAUGCUUUCUUGUAAAUCUCUAUAAUUUCUAGAAGCUGAGACUCAGAUUUGAAUACCGUCAUCAUUUUCUCCACUAAUUUCACCACAAAAUUACUUACCAUAAUAUCAUUGACAACACUUAAAAAUUAGUAACACGCCCAUAGAUAAAUCCCAAGUAACUCAUCUAAAUUAGAUAGAAUCAAGAAGAUGCAAUACUUAGUUCCUUGUGUCACCAUCAGGAUUUUCAAUUUAAAUCCCAAGUAACUCAUAUGCAAAGGAACCAAACUCAGUACAAAACCAGCAAAUUUCUAAGCAUAAUUGUUUCCUUAGCAGCAAACUCGGUACAAACGGGUAACUCUCGGCCUUAAGCCCUGAAUAAUGGUGAAAAUGCAACCUCCAAAUGAACCUUCCUGCAAAUGCUUUCUUGUAAUCGUUGGGAUUUCUAAAACCUAAGUUUUAGUUUCUAAUUCACCUAUUUUCUUUUCUCCGGAAAAGUACUUAUCCACCAUAAAAUUCAUUAACAAUAUUGAAGAUUUUUAAUAAACCCAAACAGAUUCCAAGUAACCCAUCUAGAUUAAUUAGUCCAACAAAAUCUCAACAUCCAAGAAAACAUGCUUAUACUAUUUUCAGCCCGUCGUCCAUUUCAAUACUCAAAUCACACGCUAAAGUGCAACAUCACUGCAUGAAAAUCCUUUAAAUGCUCGCAAAGGACAAGUCUACACAAUUCACCUAACUUCUUACUAAGCCUAGUAUGUCUGGUUACUUUUGCCUUAAACCUUGAAGAAUGGUCAAAAUCAACCUCUAAAUGGACCUUGAUGGAAUAUGGUUUUUUCUAAAUCUCUGAAAUUUCUAGAAGUCGAAUCUCUCUGUUCUCUUCACCCCAGUGCUACUUAUUUACCAUAAAAUCAUUAACAAAGCUCAAAAUUUGUAAAAGAAAAACCCACGGAUAAAUCCCAAGUAAUUCACCUAAAUUAGAUAGAAUCCAAAAUGCAAUACGUCCUUGUGUACAAGUCCUCUAAUUGCCUGCUAAGGAACCAAACUUUGUGCAGCAUCAACAAACCUCUAAACAAACCUAGUAUUAUUUGGUUAAUCACAGCCUUAAGCCUUGUAGAAUGGUUAAAAAGACUCCAAAUGAACUUUGCUGACUUGCAAUUCUUGGGAUUUCUUAAACCUAACUUUCUGUUCUAAAUGCCUUUUUCUUUUCUCCAUUUGUUUGACCAGAACACAGCUCAUUUAUCAUAAAAUUAAUUGGCAAUAUUCCAAAUAUUCAACAACCCACAAUUAAACUCUUAAGUAACCCACCUACACUAAUUAGAAUCUAAUUACAUGCAGAUAUACUUUGUUCUUUCUUUCUCCAUUUGAACAUCCAAUUGAUACCCUAAAGUGCAAUGUCCUUACCUAUGAAUCCUAUAUUUGCAUGCAAAGGGCAAAUCUCUACAAAUCUACCUAACUUCUUACUAACCUAGUAUAUUCUGAGCACUCUUUGCCAGAAACCUUGUGGAAUGGUCAAAAAUGAACUUUGCUGACUUGCAAUUCUUGGGAUUUCUUAAACCUAACUUUCUGUUCUAAAUGCCUUUUUCUUUUCUCCAUUUGUUUGACCAGAACACAGCUCAUUUAUCAUAAAAUUAAUUGGCAAUAUUCCAAAUAUUCAACAACCCACAAUUAAACUCUUAAGUAACCCACCUACACUAAUUAGAAUCUAAUUACAUGCAGAUAUACUUUGUUCUUUCUUUCUCCAUUUGAACAUCCAAUUGAUACCCUAAAGUGCAAUGUCCUUACCUAUGAAUCCUAUAUUUGCAUGCAAAGGGCAAAUCUCUACAAAUCUACCUAACUUCUUACUAACCUAGUAUAUUCUGAGCACUCUUUGCCAGAAACCUUGUGGAAUGGUCAAAAACAUCCUCCACUUGAAUCUAAGUGCAGUACGCUUUCUUGCAAAUGUCUGCAAUUUUUAAAACCUGAGUUUCAGAGUUUCUAAUUAAAAUUUAUUUCUUAACCAUUUAUUUGACCACAAACCUCAAAUUGUAACAAAUCCACAGACAUAUUUCAAGUAACUCAUCUAGACAAGACAAAAGCCAUAAAAAUCUCGGAAAUCCAAAAUGAUGCGCUAAUUAGUUCCUCAUGCAUAUUCAACUUAAACACUAAACUACAACAUCAUCGCCUAAGACGUAUUCAAAGCCCUGUCUAGUUGACCAGUGAAAUCCUUCCAAGAAUUGGAACACACAAGAGCAAACUCUUUAGACCCAAAUAAUAUCAAAAACAAAAUUGCGUUGUUGAUCCUUAAAAUUGAAACUUUGGUUCUAAUGAAAGCCUUUGUCUGUAUCCAUGGCACCAUCAUAUCUAGAGAAGUAAAAUGCACACCUGUCUUCUCUUUUCUAGAAAUUAAAAUCUAGCCAUCUUAGGCUCUCACUACUCUAGGCAUUACCCAUUUCAUUCAAAAAUUUCAUUUGUCUCUGACAACAAUCUACAGCCAUUUCUAAAUUAGAACUAAAAUUUUCUAGUGUAAUUCAUUAUUCUCUCUAUGGGGUUUCAAUCUCUACUGAUAAGCAACAUAGUUCAAAAAUAUAAACUGACACAUAUACUAAUCGUGCAGUUACGUUUCAUAUUUCAGUCUCAAUAUGUCUAAAAUCAUUAAAAGUAUUAGCCAAAGAUUUUAAUGUAGGCAACAAAGAAAUUAUUCACUAAAGAAUUCUGGCCACUGAUAGUGUACUUCAAAGACUCAAAAACUCCAUAUGGUACCAUCUAUCCCUUUUUGGCUUACAAAAAAAAGGAACCCAUUCCCUAUCGAAUAGACAGAUAUAUGAGUCGAUAAAAUAAGCCAUAUAGGGCAAACGGCACGUCAUUUAAACCACAAGGUGUCUUGAGUCAAGCAACUACACUAUUUGAGGCCAAAAUGGUUAGUAAACAAUCACAUGCAGCCUGCUUUAAAUGCUUUGAUUAAUACUUGUAUUGAUUUGAGUCAUUUUGACACUGAAAUAUGAAACAAAGUGCACAAUGAGUCCAUGAAAUCAGUUCAUGUUUUCUAAUUAUGCCACAUAACAUUAAAGGCUGAAACCCAACGAAGACAACAAAAAAUCACACUAGACAAUUUGAAAUCUAAUUGGGAGAUGGCUGCAGAUUGUUGAUAUAGACUAAUGAAAUUACUGGAAUUAAGUGGGCGAUGACUGUAGUAGUGUGGGCCUUAAAAAUCACUAGAUUUCAAUUUUCAGAAAAAAGGAGAUAGGCAUGCAUAAUUGGCUCCUCUUGCACUUACAAAGGUGCAACGAAUAGUAAUAAACUGAAGGGCUUUUCAAUAGAGCCAAAAUUUAAAUUCGAAGAAUCAAGAAUGCAAAUUUGAGGUUGAUGUUGUUUUAAUCUCAGGUGUUCAUUCAUACGUGCUUAGAGGAUUGGACGGACUUCAUAGGUCAACUCACAGCCUUUGUAUACCGCUUUGUGAAUUCUUGGCCUACUGAUAUGGAUAUGAAAUCUUUGUAGGGGUACAAAAGUGCUUGUGAUAUGCUAUUCUAUUCCAUUAUGUCUCUAGAAAAUACUCAGAGGUUUACACGAAGAUAAGCCAUAAAUGGGAAAAUGGGAUAUCACCUACUAAAUAGUGGGGGCUUUACCUAAGACAUUAAACCAAAAGGCAGGGCAUUGGGAAGAGUAAUUAGUCCAUGAAAAAAUUUGAAGAAAAUUGAAGAGGAAAAUCAGAGUAGAAGACAAGUCAUGAUGGAUAGAAAGGCAUAUCCCUCUGGGCUGUCAGGAAGCUGAAAGUUCUUCCCUGAGAUAUGACUUUCAGAAGCUAUGUCAAAGAAAGCACAACAAUGUCAAAUAGUCCAAAUGAACAGCAUAGAGAAUCACUGAGUCAUAUCAAAGCAUCAGUUAUAUCAAAUUACUUUUUUGCCUCCAAUGUAUCUUUUGACUUUGCUAAGUCAUAUCAAAGCAUCAGUUACAUCAUGAUACUUUUUUGCCUCUAAUGUAUCUUCUGAAUGCGAGUUGUAAAGGAUAAGAAAUAAGGACUCCUAUAGGAGAGAACAGAUCGUGCAGGUAUUUGAAAGUGGAAAUUGCGGAACUGAACAGUAAUGACUGUUCAUCCUAUUUGCCAGUAAAUGAAUAAUAAAUCACCUAUGUCCAUUUUAAGAGAUCUGGAAGUUUCUUUUUUUUUUCUUCUUUAUGAUUUCACAAUAACCAGAAAGAUAUAUCGAUAUUUAGAAAAAAUGGGUAAAAUAAAUUCUAAACCUACAAGAAGAGUUCAAAAAUCAGGUCCUCCAAGGAGAAUAUCUUUCUAUUUCAGCUUCCAACAUGUAUUUAUUGAGCAUGGACAAUCAAAUACAAGAAGGAAAAGCAAGACAAAAACCAAAACCGUAAGAAGCCCAACUCCUACCUUGAAGUACAAGACAACCAUGCAUAUACAACAAUACUAUGAAAUUACACUUUUCAGCAAGAGGAUACACACCCAGAUUAACUCAUAUUUAAGUAUGAAGAACAAACGGGCAUCAGAUGAAUAGAAUUGAAAGUAUAACAGUGAAGAAAGCAAGGAUUCCAAAACAAAAAGAUAAAAGAAAAGGAAAAGGGAAGAAAACAAGUUUGUUAAAAUAAUUUCCUGCAAGGAAAAAGUAGGAGCAAAUGGAGAAAUCAACAACAAAGCUAGAAUCUGUUGAAUCAUCUGAAAGGAAACCUGGAGCGAAAAGAGAGGCCUAUUCAUUUAAGAAUGGCAGUAGGAUUUUCAUCAGGAGUUCCUCAUUGACAAAAGAGGGAAGAUAGAAACUAGUAGAGAUACUGUUGACUGGCAAACAUAUACUUUUUAUCCAACAAUUGGGUAAAACCAAAAGCGAAACCAAAAGUAUACUUUUUACCCAACAAUUGGGCAGAUGGUAUACAGUGAAACCAAAAGUGGCUCAUGCGUAUUGUCACAAGGAAAAGUUCAAAGCCUAAAUGAAAGACAGCAACAGUUUUGUUGCCAGUUAACAACUAAAGAAAUUAUUAGCAAUCCAUUCUAAGUCUUUAGCUACUCAAACAAAUCUUUUUUCUUUUUUUUUUUUCUAGAAUCCCCUUAUAAUCACCAAGAUCAGUUAAAUAUCAAAUGCAAUAUGACAAAGGAAUACCAUCAUUCACAAGACAAAUUACUACAGAACAUGCCUGGGCAGCACUAUUGUAAUCAAGCUUCAUGUCUUUCAGUAAGUGUACUAAGCAUAACAAAAGACAGCUGAUGCAAAAAUAAAGCAAGAAAAGACAAAUGUUACAAUUCAACAGUGAGAACGGACCAUGCAACAGAAAAUCUAAAGUUCUUCAUACUUCAAUCUAAAAAUGAUUAGCGUUAGUAAAACUAAUCAAAGUGUUAAAAGUAAGCAAUAAGUAUUAAGUUAAGUUUUCGGCCCUAGAUAGUCUAGUUGCAGGACUCAAAAGCUCCGUUUGGUUUAAAAAUAUACCUUCUACCCCUUUGCAGCUUACCAAAAAAAGUACCCAUUAACCCACCAAACGGAUAGAUUUACAAGUAGAUAAAAUAAGCCAUGAAGGGCAGAUGGUAUAGUAUUUAAACCAUCGGAGCUUUGUGAUUCGAGCACCUCCACUGUCUGGAGUCAUAAAAUCAAGUCAAUCUUUUACUAGUUGCCAACACUAUAUUCCUUAAUUCAUAUUUCAUCGGCUUUUGUUAAUUGUCUUGAUAUUAUAAAUACUGAAAAAUAUACAUUAACAAGCAAUCUACGAGCUAAAUUUAUGUUUCUGCAUUAUGCCAUUUACCAUGAGAUAUCAAAACCCAAAUGAGAGAAUAAAGAACCACCAUAUGGAACCCCAUAUGACUACCCUUCAAGCAUGAAACAACCAUGGAGAAACAACUGCCAACUAAUUUCAUUUUAUUUUCUCUUUUUUUAAAUUUCAAAUUGCAUCAACAUAAAAGAUUAUGGUAAUCUUGCUUAAACCAGAACCAAAACAGAGAGGUAGAUAGAAUACUCUAAGACCUUCAGUUUCUAACACACAAUGUAAAACGUAGACACAACAAUUAUGAGUGUUCAAACAAAUUUUUUUUUUAAAAAAAAACAAUCAACAGCCAUUUCAUUCCAAAAAUUUCAUUUGUCUCUGGCAACAAUCUACAGCCAUUUCUAAAUCAGAAUUAAACUUUUCUAGUGUGAUUCAUUAUUCUCUCUAUGGGGUUUCAAUCUCUACUGGUAAGCAGCAUAGUUCAAAAAUAUAAACUAACACAUGCACUAAUCAUGCAGUUACGUUUCAUAAUUCAGUCUCAAUAUGUCUAAAAUCAUUAAAAGUAUUAGCCAAAGAUUUUAAUGUAGGCAACAAAGAAAUUAUUCACUAAAAAAUUCUGGCCACUGAUAGUGUACUUGAAAGACUCAAAAACUCCAUAUGGUACCAUCUAUCCCUUUUUGGCUUACAAAAAAAAGAACCCAUUCCCCAUCGAAUAGACAGGUAUAUGAGUCGAUGAAAUAAGCCAUAUAGGGCAAACGGCAUGUCAUUUAAACCACAAGGUGUUUUGAGUCAAGCAAUUACACUAUCUAAGGCCAAAAUGGUUAGUAAACAAUUACAUGCAGCCUGCUUUAAAUGCUUUGAUUAAUACUUGUAUUGAUUUGAGUCAUUUUGACACUAAAAUAUGUAACAAAGUGCACAAUCAGUCCAUGAGAUCAGUUCAUGUUUUCUAAUUAUGCCACAUAACAUUAAAGGCUGAAACCCAACGAAGACAACAAAAAAUCACACUAGACAAUUUGAAAUCUAAUUGGGAGAUGGCUGCAGAUUGUUGAUAUAGACUAAUGAAAUUACUGGAAUUAAGUGGGUGAUGCCUGUAGUAGUGUGGGCCUUAAAAAUCACAAGAUUUCAAUUUUCAGAAAAAAGGAGAUAGGCAUGCAUAAUUGGCUCCUCUUGCACUUAAGAAGGUGCAACAGAUAGUAAAAAAUUGAAGGGUUUUUCAAUAAAGCCAAAAUUUAAAUUUGAAGAAUCAAGAAUGCAAAUUUGAGGUUGAUGUUGUUUUAAUCUCAGGUGUUCAUUCAUACGUGUUUAGAGGAUUGGAGGGACUUCAUAGGUAAACUCACAGCCUUUGUAUACCGCUUUGUGAAUUCUUGGCCUACUGAUAUGGAUAUGAAAUCUUCGUAGGUAUACAAAAGUGCUUGUGAUAUGCUAUUCUAUUCCAUUAUGUCUCUAGGAAUUACUCAGAGGUUUACAAGAAGAUAAUCCAUAAAUGGGAAUAUGGGAUAUCACCUACCAAAUAGUAGGGGCUUUACCUAAGACAUUAAACCAAAAGGCAGGGCCUUGGGAAGAGUAAUUAGUCCAUGAAAAAAUUUGAAGAAAAUUGAAGACGAAAAUCAGAGUAGAAGACAAGUCAUGAUGGACAGAAAGGCCCAUCCUUCUGGGCUGUCAGGAAGCUGAAAGUUCUUCCCUGAGAUAUGACUUUCAGAAGCUAUGUCAAAGAAAGCACAACAAUGUCAAAUAGUCCAAAUGAACAGCAUAGAGAAUCGCUGAGUCAUAUCGAAGCAUCAGUUAUAUCAAAUUAAUUUUUUGCCUCCAAUGUAUUUUUUGAAUUUGCUAAGUCAUAUCGAAGCAUCAGUUAUAUCAUGACACUUUUUUACCUCUAAUUUAUCUUCUGAUUGCGAGUUGUAAAGGAUAAAAAAUAAGGACUCCUAUAGGAGAGAACAGAUCGUGCAGGUAUUUGAAAGUCGAAAUUGCAGAAGUUUAACAGUAAUGACUAUUCAUCCUAUUUGCCCAUAAAUGAAUAAUAAAUCAUGUAUGUCCAUUUUAAGAGAUCUGGAAGUUUCUUUUUUUUUUUCUUCUUAAAAUGAUUUCACAAUAACCAGAAAGAUAUAUGGAUAUUUAGGAAAAAUGGGUAAAAUAAAUUCUAAACCUACUAGAAGAGUUCAAAAAUCAAGUCCUCCAAGGAGAAUAUCGUUCUAUUUCAGUUUCCAACAUGUAUUUAUUGAGCAUGGACAAUCAAAUACAAGAAGGAAAAGCAGGACAAAAAACAAAACCGUAAGAAGUCCAACUCCUACCUUGAAGUACAAGACAACCAUGCAUAUACAACUAUACUAUGAAAUUACAUUUUUCAGCAAGAGGAUAUACCCAGAUUAACUCAUAUUGAAGUAUGAAGAACAAACAGGCAUCAGAUGAACAGAAUUGAAAGAAUAACAGUGAAGAAAGCAAGGAUUCCAAAAAAAAAAAAAAGAUAAAAGAAAAGGAAAAGGGAAGGAAACAAGUUUGUUAAAAUAAUUUCUUGCAAGGAAAAAGGAGAAGCAAAUGGAGAAAUCAGUAACAAAGCUAGAAUCUGUUGAAUCAUCUGAAAGGAAACCUGGAGGGAAAAGAGAGGCCUAUUCAUAUAAGAAUGGCAGUGGCAGUAGGAUUUUCAUUCAGGAGUUCCUCAAUGACAAAAGAGGGAAGAUAGAAACAAGUAGAGAUACUGUUGACUGGCAAACAUAUACUUUUUACCCAACAAUUGGGCAGAUGGUAUACAGUGAAACCAAAAGUGGCUCAUGCGUAUUGUCACAAGGAAAAGUUAAAAGCCUAAAUGAAAGACAGCAACAGUUUUGUUGCCAGUUAACAACUAAAGAAAUUGUUAGCAAUCCAUUCUAAGUCUUUAGCUACUAUAACAAAUCUUUUUUCUUUUUUUUUUUCCUAGAAUCCCCUUAUAAUCACCAAGAUCAGUUAAUAUCAAAUGCAAUAUGACAAAGGAAUAUCAUCAUUCACAAGACAAAUUACUACAGAACAUGCCUGGGCAGCACUAUUGUAAUCAAGCUUCAUGUCUUUCAGUAAGUGUACUAAGCAUAACAAAAGACAGCUGAUGCAAAAAUAAAGCAAGAAAAGACAAAUUGUACAAUUCAACAGUGAGAACAGACCAUGCAACAGAAAAUCUAAAGUUCUUCAUACUUCAAUCUAAAAAUGAUUAGCGUUAGUAAAACUAAAUCAAAGUGUUAAAAGUAAGCAUUAAAAGUGUUAAAAGUAAGUAUUAAGUUAACUUUUCGGCCCUGGAUAGUCUAGUUGCAGGACUCAAAAGCUCCCUUUGGUUUAGAAAUAUACCUUCUACCCCUUUGCAGCUUACCAAAAAAAGUACCCAUUAACCCACCAAAUGGAUAGAUUUACAAGUAGAUAAAAAUAAGCCAUGAAGGGCAGAUGGUAUAGUAUUUAAACCAUCGGAGCUUUGUGAUUCGAGCACCUCCACUGUCUGGGGCCAUAAAAUCUAGUCAAUCUUUUACUAGUUGCCAACACUAUAUUCCUUAAUUCAUAUUUCACUGGCUUUUGUUAAUUGUCUUGAUAUUAUAAAUACCGAAAAAAAUACAUUAACAAGCAAUCUACGAGCUAAAUUUACGUUUCUGCAUUAUGCCGUUUACCAUGAGAUAUCAAAACCCAAAUAAGAGAAUAAAGAACCACUGUACGGAACCCCAUAUGACUACCCUUCAAUUAUGAAACAACCAUGGAGAAACAGUAGCUAACUAAUUUCAUUUUAUUUUCUCUUUUUUAACUUUCAAAUUGCAUCAACAUAAAAGAUUAUGGUAAUCUUGCUUAAACCAGUCCCAAAACAGAGAGGUAGACAGAACACACUAAGACGUUCAGUUUCUAACACACAACAUAAAACAUAGACACAACAAUUAUGAGUGUUCAAACAAAUUUUUUUUUUUUUUAAAAAAACAAUCAACAGCCAUUUCAUUCCAAAAAUUUCAUUUGUCUCUGUCAACAAUCUACAGCCAUUUCUAAAUCAGAACUAAAAUUUUCUAGUGUGAUUCAUUAUUCUCUCUAUGGGGUUUCAAUCUCUACUGAUAAGCAGCAUAGUUCAAAAAUAUAAACUAACACAUGCACUAAUCGUGCAGUUACGUUUCAUAUUUCAGUCUCAAUAUGUCUAAAAUCAUUAAAAGUAUUAGCCAAAGAUUUUAAUGUAGGCAACAAAGAAAUUAUUCACUAAAAAAUUCUGGCCAUUGAUAGUGUACUUGAAAGACUCAAAAACUCCAUAUGGUACCAUCUAUCCCUUUUUGGCUUACAAAAAAAAGAACCCAUUCCCUAUCGAAUAGACAGGUAUAUGAGUCGAUGAAAUAAGCCAUAUAGGGCAACGGCACGUCAUUUAAACCACAAGGUGUCUUGAGUCAAGCAACUACACUAUUUGAGGCCAAAAUGGUUAGUAAACAAUUACAUGCAGCCUGCUUUAAAUGCUUUGAUUAAUACUUGUAUUGAUUUGAGUCAUUUUGACACUAAAAUAUGUAACAAAGUGCACAAUCAGUCCAUGAGAUCAGUUCAUGUUUUCGAAUUAUGCCACAUAACAUUAAAGGCUGAAACCCAACGAAGACAACAAAAAAUCACACUAGACAAUUUGAAAUCUAAUUGGGAGAUGGCUGCAGAUUGUUGAUAUAGACUAAUGAAAUUACUGGAAUUAAGUGGGCGAUGCCUGUAGUAGUGUGGGCCUUAAAAAUCACUAGAUUUCAAUUUUCAGAAAAAAGGAGAUAGGCAUGCAUAAUUGGCUCCUCUUGCACUUAAGAAGGUGCAACAGAUAGUAAAAAACUGAAGGGCUUUUCAAUAGAGCCAAAAUUUAAAUUUGAAGAAUCAAGAAUGCAAAUUUGAGGUUGAUGUUGUUUUAAUCUCAGGUCAUACGUGUUUAGAGGAUUGGAGGGACUUCAUCGGUCAACUCACAGCCUUUGUAUACCGCUUUGUGAAUUCUUGGCCUACCGAUAUGGAUAUGAAAACUUUGUAGGGGUACAAAAGUGCUUGAAACAACUGCUAACUAAUUUCAUUUUAUUUCUCUUUUUUUAAAUUUCAAAUUGCAUCAACACUCUAAGACCUUCAGUUUCUAACAUGUAAAAAGUAGACACAUCUCAAUUUGACAUGUAAAAAUUAGACCUUCUGGGGCUUUUGUAGUCAAAAGGAAAACAAAAUCAUCACCACAGCAGAAUACGCAUCUCAAUACCCAGCAUACAUAUCUAUACUACAAAAGUUUUUUUGAUACAAAAUCUUCUGAUCAGAAGCUUGAAACACUCUGGCAUUAUCCAAACAAAUUUUAUUUAAAUAAAAAAAAAAAAGCAAUCUACACCAUCAGUACUAAAUUGGAAGCAAAAUUCAAUAUAACUAGGUCUAAACCCACCAAAAGCGAAGACAUGAAUCGGACAAAUUCGCUGAAAAUUCGCCACUAGGUCACAAUUGAGGGCAAAUAACGGAUAUUGAAAGCAAAUAUGCAUAGCAGGAAAGCACGGAAUUUGAAGAAUCUAAUCUCCAGGGAAAGGAAACAAAAAAUAGAAAGCAGAAGAGAAAUAAUACUUGCCUGAAAUCGUUUCUCCUCAAAAAGCUUUCUUCACAGCUCCAGAAAACAGCCAACUCUGGACAGAAUCAAGCCACAAAAAAAAAAAGCAACUCUUUUCUCAAGAAACAAAUGCGUCCCCGAUUUUCUGAUUUUUCCCUCCCC
rnacentral:lncRNA from 1 species